ACAGAAAUCUCACUGCUAAUACUAAUAUGGCUAAUGUAGCUAUGAAAUGCUAAUUACCGCUGCACAUGGUACCCAUGUUAGUUUUUUUAAUACAUUGUGCAUCUAAGGGUCCACAUUACCAUAUUGGUCCUAAUAUAAGAUAUAAUAUCCUUAUACAUUAUUACUAGAUUAUAUUUUCCUUGUAUUUUGGCAAAUACAGUAAUACAUGAAAACAUGUUUAUACUGUACAUGACAUUUUUUGCAUCAGGAUUAUUUCAGUGGGUAAUUAUGUUUUGCUUAUGCCAGAUGCCCAAGAAACCAGCAGUGGACAGGGAUUCCAUUUUCACAGUCCUCCCUUCAUCAAAAGAGGCCAUAGUCCAAAAUGUCAACAUAGCUACUCCUAAUCAGAGCAUCUGGACAGAGCUUAGUGAGCAGCUAGAAAACAAGAUCACUGCAAAGGCUCUAUAUACUUUUGUUAAAUUGAACAGACAACAUCUGGACUGCUUUAGGGUUUAUUUAUGAAAGUGAUCAUGAAACAAGUGGCAGUAAUGAUGACACUCAUUUUGAGCCAGGUCCCUGCACAUUUGUCUUUAAAAGAGCCAAGGUCUAUCCAUCAGCCGCAGAGAAAUUCAUAGAAAUCAGAGGCAACUGUGAGGAAUGUCAUGGCCACAUUCACAUAAAAUGUGACGGAGAGCCUGAAAUGAACAGCCCAGUGGUGCUCAAGUGCUGAAUUAAAAACACUGACUCCCUGCACACUGGCUGUUCGAAGCAUGCGAUGUCUGGUAACUUGCCUGUGCAGAUAGUCAAAGAACUGUGUGAGGAAAGAAUGGAACCCUGUUUAUGACAACGUGGCAAUUUUUUGGAGCACACUUGGUAGUGUGCGGAAGCAUCGGCACGUCCCUAAUAGCAAGUGCACACAGCUGAAACAUUCUGUAUUAUUUUAACAUGUUAUUUAUUCCACCGUGGCAGUUGUUCAGAGCACAUUUGUAAGCAUGCGAAAGUAUCGGAACGUCCUUAAAUAGCAAGAGAACACAGCUGAAACAUUGUAAUUUUUAAGUAUGUAAUUUAUUCCACCAUAGUAGCUAUUAAGGGCACAUUUUUAAGCGUUUAAACGUCCCUAAUAGGCAGAGCAUGCCGUUUUUUUGCUGCAGGGUGGUUCCUACUAGGUCUGCUAAUGGGACCGCCCUCCUGACUGGCUGCCUAUAAAGUCACCCGCUCUAGCGGUGCUGAGCAGCGAGAUGUCACAGAGAAGAGUGUGUCCAGUUUGUCGGCGUUUCUACACCAAUGUGCAGGCUCAUCUCGCCCAGAUUCAUCAGCAGGGUCCAGAGGAACGCUGGCUUCACCUGGCGGCAGCGAGCGAGCGGGUGAUAUGCGGGUGCUCUGGACUGCCCGGUGUCUGCAUGUGGCAAGAAAGGUUUCCGCCGGCUAGACUGCCACCUGUUCCACCUUCACCAGCUCGCCGGGGACACGGUCAGGAAGUUACUGCUCAGCGCCAAAAUAAAGCUGCAACAACUGCAAGCUUUCGGUGAGACGAACAAAUCUAAAAGUUGCAAAUGUUCUGAACUGAUCGAAAAGUAGCAAAACUCUCCGCAGAAUUUGAGCGGCUGCAAGCGCUAGUAGCCCGGAAAGAGUAGUGGCUCUGUGGAGCCAAUGUUAAGUGUACACGGCUUGGCUGACAAGUCUCAGAGAUGUCCCCAAAGCCGCGGCCAACGGCAAGCAGGAGAGGAGACACGUCGAGCGCUUCCUUCACUUUAUGUGGGCCAACACAGACAGUCCCCUGGCAGCUGCUGGCUCAUUACCCAAAAACACUUAAAAUUUAACAUAGAAGCCAAUACUCACAUCAACCUCUGAACCCAGUUGGAGAUAGAAAAAAAGACACCAGCCGUGAGUGAGAAGAAGCAAGGGUCCAGAUUUAUUGUUCCGUUCCACCACACGAGAUCCACACCGAUGAGAAUUCUCAGAAGUGAUCUGAUACCCUGAGGUUAAGCUCCAGUAUUUAUACUGUAAUUACACAGUAAAUAACCCAUAUGUUUCAAGAAGACUAUGAUAUCAAUACCAAUAGGGUUAAAAAGAGCUAUUCAACUUACCAUUAGCUCAAAAAACAGGGCUUUUCAACUUACAAAUAUAAUCAAAACCAAGGGUUUUCAAAUAACCAUUAGCUUCAAAAGUGGAGAGAUAAAAGAAUCUAGAGUGACCUUGGUCUUACUAUUAUCUCGCUGGGGGGGCAGCUUGACUCAGCUACCCUUAUAAAUGGCUCCUCAUGGUUUUCUCUUAAAAUUAAGGCCUUCCUUGCGAGACAAGAAUCUUCACCAUCUGAAUUAUGAGUAAGUUACAUUUUCCUGUAUUUCUAGUUUAUAAUUUAUUUUCAUAUUUGCUCUAUAUCUCUAUUUUAUAUAUAGUUAUACUGCUUGAAAAACGAUUUACUGUACUUCCUACUUCAUAAAAUCAUUAUAUUACCCUUCUACUGUCCUACAUAUCCUACUAUUCUGUAUUUUAUAGAGUUUUCUAUUAUUAUAAGAUAUUACCCUUAUAAUAUCUUAAUACUCCUUUUUAUUAUUCUUAUAAAGUUAUAAUGUUAUAUGUGUGUGUGUGUGUGUGUGUGUGUGUGUAUUAUGUCUACAUGCCCGCCCUUGACUGUACGAGAGUGUGUGUGUGUGUGUGUGUGUGUGUGUGUGUGUGUGUGUAAGUGUGUGUGUGUGUGUGUGUGUGUGUGUCUGUGUUAGCACUCCUCAGCUCUUAUACUUCUGUUUGACUCUUGGACUAUUAAACCAUAGUGUAGUACUCUUAAAGAUCUUUAAAGUGGAAAUCCAAUUUGUCAAUAUCUGCCUAAUACCGCUUCUGUAUGUCUAGGUGCCCAUCGUCAUUCCUUCUUCUCCCCUUUACUGGAUCUGGAUCUGGACACUCAUUAUCAGCUUGCGCAUCUAACUGCUGAUAUCAUGGUGCUACUUAACUAUCUUCGCAGCACCCCCUCUGGAAAUGGAAAUGCGGGGUCCGUCCCCCCCCCCCCCCCCCCCCCCCCGAUACAAAAUCUGCCCCGUGAACGUGUGUAUUGACGCCUCUACACAGCCAAAACCCCCCUCCAGCUUUCAGUCUGAGGAAGAUGUCACCUUCUCUGACCUGGUCCCCGACCAUUCUUCCCUCUUCUCACCUACCAGUCCGCCCCACUCUCAGUGGUCCUCUCACUUCACCUUUGCUGACUUUCCCAUGUUCCCAGGACGCACCCCAUUUUCUUCCCCCCACCACUCUCCUCAAGAUUACGCACCCACCAGUUCUGUGAAUUAUCAAUAAAACUACAUAUUACUCAUACUAAGUGUCCCUCAUGUUUAUUUCAUGUCAUUUUUAUCCACAACACAGCCCACCUGAAGUACAUUGACAAUCUCUCGAGAGUCCUUGAAUGGAUGAAAUCAUUGUGCCAGCGGUACAAGGUCACUCCGGCCAAGUUAUUUCUGACGCGUGUUUCCAAGUUCCUCCAUUAACUCGAUGAGAGACUGUCCAAGGGCCGAGUUGGCUCCACGAGGCUGUGGAGUCUCCAGAGACUGCUGCAGUGGGAGUGCAGACAUCUGUCCGGUCGAGUCGUGCUCCACAGGCAAGGCGUGCGAGCGGAGAAGAGUGAGGGAGUACUUACAGCUCCUGCACGGCAAACUGUCGGACGCUGUCCCUGUUUCACUGGAUGAUCUGAACUCGUCCAGCAGACCCGGACAUGCUCAACCAUUGCAUCGGGCUGCUGUGUGCUCACUUCUUUUCGGUCAGCGGACACAGGACCGGAGUCCUGCAGAACCUCACGACUGAGGAGUUUGAGAACCUCGAGAAGGCUGACUCUUUCUGAUCAAUGUGAAACAGCACAAACCUGCCUCUGCUUUUGGACUCGCUAAGCUAGCCGUCACCAAGCUGGAGCUGAAGUGGCUGAAAGCUUUCUGCCACCUGAGGAAGCAUAUGCCGGGAUAUGAGACUUCUGUGGGGUGGCUUUUCUUUUCUGGCACACAGGCCAGGAUUUCUGCGCAUGUCAAGCUUGCCCUGCGGGCACUCGUGGGAAGGGACAUCACUGUGUCGGACAUCCGCACAGCUCUAGCAACCUACUGCGAACGCAAAAGACGAACAACGCAUGCUCGUGACCAAGACGAUGUGCUACAGCAAUUAGCUGAGUCGUGGAGCUGUCGGUCAGCGAGGCGCACUCCGCCCAGUCUGCGCUAGAGUCCGCUGCGGGCAUAGGUGCUACAUAGGCCGGUUGUUUUUGGCUAAUGGCCCUGUGUGUGUGUGUGUGUGUGUGUGUGUGUGUGUGUGUGUGUGUGUGUGUGUGUGUAAAUAUUUCAUUAAAAUGUUUUAACUGAAUUCCCAUUGUCUUAAUAUUUUGACAUGUCCAAAAGUACAUUAGCAUCACUCAUGGCGAGACCACACAGCCGAAAUUUCCGAAAGUACAUGGACUGAGCUCUGGGCGAAGUUUGCAGGCUUUGCCCAGGGAGAGAGUGUCAUCCUGGGCAUACACUCGUGAGCUCCAGGCUGAUCACUGAUGAAUUUUUUCCUCGUUGAUUUCAAUGGUUUAUGCGUUCCUAGUCAGGACAAGCUACUGUUUGUUGCACCUCUUCCAUCCUCCUCCACGGUCUGAAGCCAGCUGCAGCCACCUUUUCAUCACCGUCACAAUCUCAGCACUUGUUGCCCUUGAUGUUAACGUGUUCUUUCGGACAGCAUCUAAUGAACAUGAGGCAAAACAGUUGACAACUUCUGCAAUUCGAGACACGCUAAAAAGGCUAUUUAUACUUCUACGUCAGACCUUUGCGUUGCCUGAUGUGCACCUCUAAAAAAACUGUAAUAACAUCUGUGUAUGCAGACAACAGUUGUGAUUGGUCCUUUGUGCAAACAGAGACCCUCCCCGGGGAUGAUAAAUAUAUCUGCAGUAAUUUCAUAUUCACUGAGAAUAAAUGUAAUGAAGCAGAUUGCUUGUAGCUGAUAAUAAAAAUGCUGAGGCUUAUUACACACUUA